rnacentral:lncRNA from 1 species
GUGACACCUAGCAGCAUGUAGUGGCUACCCAGCAGAAUAGAAUGGUGAACCUCUAGGUGCAGUUAUUGUGUGAUACAGUCCUUCUAUCGUGGAUCCCUACAAGACGGAGGUCAUGGAUAACUCGUCAAACCCCUUCGUCUGUCAUAUGUCAAGAUUUAUUCGACUUAAGUUCGAGAGCGGAGAACUCUUUCUCCACUGUGCAAUCUG